rnacentral:rRNA from 1 species
AGUUUGAUCAUGGCUCAGGAUGAACGCUAGCGGCAGGCUUAACACAUGCAAGUCGAGGGUAUAGUUCUUCGGAACUAGAGACCGGCGCACGGGUGCGUAACGCGUAUGCAAUCUACCUUUUGCAGAGGGAUAGCCCAGAGAAAUUUGGAUUAAUACCUCAUAGUAUGUGAGAAUGGCAUCAUUUUCACAUUAAAAGUCACAACGGCAAAAAGAUGAGCAUGCGUCCCAUUAGCUUGUUGGUAAGGUAACGGCUUACCAAGGCUACGAUGGGUAGGGGGUCCUGAGAGGGAGAUCCCCCACACUGGUACUGAGACACGGACCAGACUCCUACGGGGGGCAGCAGUGAGGAAUAUUGGACAAUGGGCGCAAGCCUGAUCCAGCCAUGCCGCGUGCAGGAUGACGGUCCUAUGGAUUGUAAACUGCUUUUGUACAGGAAGAAACACUGGUUCGUGAACCAGCUUGACGGUACUGUAAGAAUAAGGAUCGGCUAACUCCGUG